UCUGCUGCUCUGACUUUUCCCAUAAAAACUCUCUGCCUAGAAAAUUGUGAGUUGAGUUUACUGUGAAGGCAAGACACACCGUAUUCUUUCCUGAUACUGGUCUAUACCGAGGGGCGAGAAAAGGGAAAAGCGCAUAUGGUUAGAUUUAAAAGAAAAUAAAGAACAAUAUAAAAAAAGAAAAAAGAAAAAAACAUACUCCGGUCAGAAGCUGACAACCUGUGGGGACCUGGUGAGACACAAAGGCUUUGGGAUUAUUGAAAACAUCAAAAAUUCCAUGGGAUUUGACAUGAUGCAGCUCUGUGAAGAACACAGGAAGCCGAAGCAGGGUUCUGGUGCAGCGCUCGGGUCUGGGACUGGAGGCACCCAGGGAGGCAGCAGAAAUCAGAGCUGAGAGAGCACUGGACAGAUAAUCCCAACCCCGCCAGCAGACAGGGAACACUCCAGAGCGAUGAGGCUCAAAGAUCUCUCCAAGCAAGUACUGAAGCUCUCCGUUUUACUGUACCCCUCCCAGUCAUGACUCCACUGACCUUUCAAUAUGCAUCACUUCACGAGGAUUUUAGGGUCCUGCUCUGUGUGGGUUUAACCUUUCCUUAAACACACCUUUACCGGGUAUUCUCUCCCUGGACCCAAAGCCACAACUCAAUGAAAGAGGUUGACAAUGUUGCUAGAAGGUAAAUCACAAGCUACUAAUGUGCUCUGCAUCCCUUCGCCAUCAGAAGACUCUGGCAACUGUACCAAUGACCUCAAAGCACCUCUGAGCAUCCCCAACCAUCAGAGGCCAC